rnacentral:rRNA from 1 species
GUGUCAGCAGCCGCGGUAAAACGUAGGAGGCAAGCGUUAUCCGGAAUUACUGGGCGUAAAGGGCGUCUAGGCGGCGGUACAAGCGCGAUGUGAAAGCUCCUGGCUCAACUGGGAGAGUGCGUAGCGAACUGUGCAGCUAGAGGCCAGGCGAUGGGGGUGGAAUUCCCGGUGGAGUGGUGAAAUGCGUAGAGAUCGGGAGGAACACCAGUGGCGCAAGCGGCCCCCAAGCCUGAACCUGACGCUGAAGCGCGACAGCGUGGGGAGCAAACGGGAUUAGAUACCCCCGUAGUCC